rnacentral:rRNA from 1 species
AUGACGAGUGGCGGACGGGUGAGUAAUGCUUGGGAACUUGCCUUUGCGAGGGGGAUAACAGUUGGAAACGACUGCUAAUACCGCAUAAUGUCUUCGGACCAAACGGGGCUUAGGCUCCGGCGCAAAGAGAGGCCCAAGUGAGAUUAGCUAGUUGGUAAGGUAACGGCUUACCAAGGCGACGAUCUCUAGCUGUUCUGAGAGGAAGAUCAGCCACACUGGGACUGAGACACGGCCCAGACUCCUACGGGAGGCAGCAGUGGGGAAUAUUGCACAAUGGGGGAAACCCUGAUGCAGCCAUGCCGCGUGUGUGAAGAAGGCCUUCGGGUUGUAAAGCACUUUCAGUUGUGAGGAAAAGUUAGUAGUUAAUACCUGCUAGCCGUGACGUUAACAACAGAAGAAGCACCGGCUAACUCCGUGCCAGCAGCCGCGGUAAUACGGAGGGUGCGAGCGUUAAUCGGAAUUACUGGGCGUAAAGCGCACGCAGGCGGUUUGUUAAGCUAG